rnacentral:lncRNA from 1 species
CCUCGCGAUCGUCCAUCGUCCUCUCUUCCACCGCCAGCGCGAUAGAUAGAGAAAAAGCGGAAGAGAGUGAGGGGAAGGCGAACGAAUGUGUCGUCGAAGAGAAAGGGGUCGAGACAGCUCCACCACGUUCAGAAGAGAGAAGAGUGAUCUGAGAGAGAGGGGAAGAGAGAGAGAGAGAGAGAGAGAGAGAGUCAGGGGCUUCCUCGAAGUAUAGCGUGCUCGUAUAGUAUAUUUCCUCUCUCCCUGUCUCUUUUCCUCUUUUUGUUCCCUUCUGCCUACGUCCUUCCAUCUUCGUCGAGCAGACUCACCGUAAUGCAAUUAACUACCCUGACCAAACCGAAACCGAACAAGUUCCCCGUCUAUUAACGCGUGGCAGCGCGGCGCAACGGGAUCGCCCCGACAUCCGUCUCUCGUCAGGAUCGUUUUCCCGAUGAACGCCUCGACGCUAAAAGGAAGAGCUGCGAGCCGCUGCGGAGAAAAUCGAGCUGCUCGACCGGCCGGAAAGCGGCAGCAGCGAAAGUACGCGCGAUAAGUUGGACGACAGAGAAAUUGUUGACCUUAGGAUGAAUGAAUUCGUCUUGAAGAGGAUGUGACAUGAUCGAGCAACGUGGAUCCGUCUCCUCAAUGAUGCAUAUGAGACUCCAGGAAACUCCGUUGAUCUAUUUAGCUGGUCGAAAAUAUGAACUGAAAUUAAUUUACAAUGUAGGUGCACACAUACAAGUUCAGAUUCACCUUGACGCUGAUCGUAAAUAAGGCAAUUUGUACCGUUCCGCAAAAUGAGCCGAAGCGAAGCAACAAACGUCUGAAAAUAUUAACAGCGGGCCAGUUUUGACCCGAUUUCCCUCGUCGGUGGAUUAAUCAAUAACAUACGUAAAAGUUUCAUCGCCGACGAGCCGCUACCGGACUGUUCCUUCGCUGGUUCCUUAUACAUAUAUCGAUGAACAUACGUUCAUCGACCACACUUCUGCCAGAAGUCGGAAUAUUUUCAACCGGACGAAAGAGCAUUUCAAAGGAGAUCGAUAAGAAUAACGAUCAUGCAUGAAUCACCAAUGUCUCGGUGAACAGUUGUCUCUUUUCCUCUUAGCUCGUCUUGAAGCUGAUCGACGAGAGUAAAGACUGUGAACGCAAGCGAAGGAAGUCGGGGUCGCGCGGAGCGCAGCGUUUCUUAAUUAAUUGCGACAUCAGAAGACGUAAUCUCGAGUGCCGAUCUCGAUAACGCAUCCGGACGAGCGCGGAGCGAAACGGGGACGACGCGGGGGAGGAAUACGUGCUACCAGCUACGGAUCGUCCUGCAUGAAUCACGGGAUUUCAACGAAGAGCGGAUCGCUGGGAACGAGGAACAGUUAUCACCGACGUGUGCCGAUUGAAUGGGCUAUAAUCGGCACUAAUUAGCGCCGAUGGCGAACAGAUAUCGAAGCAACACGAGGCCGACUCCCGAAUUGGCCGAUAUACCGCGUCGCCGAUUGCAAGCGAACGCUGCGAGGAACGCUAUUAUUAGCGUGCAUUGGAUCAGAAAAUCUGGCGACGCGAGUGAGUGGGUGAGUGAUGCUUAGAAUCGAUACGGGCUUCCGAUACUCUGAUGCUAUUCUGUAAGAUCGACUCAACAUCGGAUAUCACGAGCUGGUUGAAUUCUCCGUUAAGCGUCCUUGAAAUCUUGAGCGGCUAGGAAGAAAGAGAAAACUAAAGAAAAAUUGAAUUAAAAAAAAUAUGCAGUAUAUUCUGUAGAAAUCAAAAGUGAAUAAUGUACGAAAUGAUGCAAUUAAAGCAUCAAAAUUAUUUGAAAGAAUUGAUAUAUUCGAAACAAGAUUAUCUUGCACAAUGUUGGAAAAACAUUGUAUUUUUCCAACGUUUUUUUCUUUUAUCGGCGGAAUAUUUUUUUUAGAGGACACAAGCGACAGAACAUUUAACUGUACAUAAGAAAUAAGGCGGAUAACUUAAUCGCGCAGAACAUAAUCGUCGACGCUUUGCACACGCUUUGAUAACGCGCGACCGAUAUCGAUUACUGAUAAUGACAAGCGUUCGUUGUUAUCCUUCGGCGGAGGAAUGACUGUAUUUCGCGUGGUCGAUUAUUUUCGCGCGCUCGUCCGUGAAUUCGCUCGCGAAUAUGUCUCUGCUGAUGAAGUCGGGAAGACGUCGGAUGACAUUAUCGUGAAAAAUGAGCGCGGAGAUAAUGAGGACGCGAAUGAAUGUCAAGUAAAUGCCGAUCCCACAGGCGUUUACAACCGCAACACGUCCAUCGGGAAUCCUUAAGUCGAGAUCAGAACAGGCGUACUGCUUGUAAAAAAAAGAAGAGAAAAAGAAGAAACCAGCAAUCUAGCCCUUAAUCGACAAUGAGAUACGUAUAUCUCAUUGUCAGUGCAAUUAUACCAGAAAGAGAAAGAGAAAGAGAGAGAUUUGUUAGAAAGAUUUACGUCGUCACUCUACAAUUUUUAUCGUCUCUAGCGAGAUAUAUUAUUUGAAUUAUAAAAUCUAGAUUAUAUCAUUCUCUAAGAGAAAUAUACGAAUUUUUUUCUCUCAGAGAGAAUAAUAAUUUGGUUUUUCUUUCUUUCUCUGUUUUAAAAACGACUGUUCAAAUAAUGAGAAAUGUAAGCGUCGUAUCGUCUAUUCAGCUAACGUCCUACGGAGGAUGAAAUUCGCGAAGGUGUUCCAUAAUUAAUUCGAGAUAAAAAGAGAGAGACGAGAAGAAUGAAUAGGAUUUAUAUUUAUGUUAUAGUUUUUGAAAUAUGUAAGUUCUUAAUGCGUUGAUUUAAGGAUUUAUUCACAUUCAAAUUGAUAUUAGUUUUUGCUUUGGUUGUGAUUGAAUAUGUUUUUGGAUUAUAUUAUAGUGAUUAUAUUAUAGUGAUAUAGUGUAAGUGAUUCAUUAUUUAGUCUUAUCAGAGGGAUUUUUUUCCGUUAAUAAAUUGAAAUUAAAAUUGAAAUUGGCAGGAUUAAUCCGGUUAUCAGGUGUUGAAGUUCAUCGGCGAUGCUUACGUGUCGCAUCCAUCAAUGAUGAGCUGGUUUACGCCGGGUUUUACCACGAUUUUUCCGUGUGUGCACAGCGGGGUUCGGUACCACGACGAUGGCGCGUCGCGGCGAUAUUUCGCGAUAAACGCGAUAACUCUGUUUGCCCGGAAAAACUGGCGGGAUACUCACACGUGCAAUCGCGAGAGCACCGGUUGGCGGAGAGAGUUACCGCUAUCGUAAAAACGGCGAUAAAGCAGCCGUUUAUCACGAAACGAAGUUGAAGACUGGCUGUGUUUAAGGCAAAGGGUGUCCCUACCUGAACGUAUUUUUACAAUGUCAAUGUUUUUAUUCACGUCCAGAAUCUCGAGAGCGAGAUAUUUGAGAUGUCGCGAGCCGGUUAAAAGCGCGGGACUCAUUUUAAACAAAUUACCGACGCACGUCUCUAAUGAGACGUAUCUUUAAUUAAUUCGUGUAUGUUCUGUUUAUAUCAUUAAUGGAUUAGGUCUCGCUGCCGACUCGUCUGACAACGGGGGAAAAAACGCAACCAUAUAGAAAAUGAAUGUCUGUCUCGCGCUACGUAGGUCUGUUAAUUACGGAAGACGGUGUGCCGGUCGUCAUUUUCAGACGGCAAUCACACAUCGAUCAUCCGCACAGCACGUCUUCAUGACUCACAUCAGUCAGCCUUCUUCCUAUAUCCGUGCGGCAAACGAAUUUGUAUUUACCAAAUUACACGAAGAUUGAGACUGCGACGUGGACGAGCCAAGUUCCAAAUUCAUGCAUGUCGCUUGAUUGAUCGAAAUCAUGAAGAAACUUUGCGCAAUGCAGGAAGCGUCCCGAGUGAAACUGACCGUGAAAGAGCGGGACGAGUCUCAAAAUUCUGAAAAUUCUGUUCACGAAGAGCCUUCCUCGAGCCUGAAACUCGAGACUCGCGUUUAGCACGUCACAGAAUUAAAUAUUAAUUCGUAAGUCUGCCAGUCGUUCCAAUCCGAAUCUAACUCCUCGUCGUCUACCUCUUUCAGAAACAAGAUCGAUUUAACGAUCGAUGACGAUUCUGCUUGAAGAGGAAAAAGUUACUCUCUUGGAUACACCGGCGACGCCGCGCCUCGACGCUCUCUCCUGGUCUCCCAGAAAACCAUUCUAGUGAUCGCGACGAGGAUCAAUCCAGCGACACGUCGUGUCGCGGAACGUGUCGCAGCGUUUUGGCGAGCACGCAACCGUGCGUGAAUCAGCGUGGAAGCCAAUCGUACCACGAAAGAUUGAGGUGAGUCAUCGCUCGCUUCGGUUUCGCGCCAGCGAGCAGACUUUGCCCGCUUGCUCGCUCGAGACAUCGCCAGCACUUCUAACUAAAUAAAUUAACGCGGGAUAUUGUUCUUUAAAGUGACGACGAUACUGGUACGGAAAUAUCGAAUCUUGACAAAUCUGUAGAAGCGGCCUUCUGAUGUUUUUCGUUGCAGGCAGUGACUGAAUUUCACGAGGAGCGACAUGCCUGCGCCGCGUUAAUUUCGGAACACUCUCAGGAGACACUGCUCUUGACAAUUAUCCAUUCAACGAUUUUAUUUCAACAGAAAUGUGGAGACGUGAGCUUUACGAGACCGAAGAAAGAACCGUGACAAGGAUGACUUUCGCUGUUUUGAAGGCACCAAUUCAUCAAGAAUCGAGAUUGGAGAACGCGCGUUCAAGCGCCUUCACGCGCCUUCUGACCCUCGCGAACCGAUGAUACGAUAACGAUUUCUCGUUGAUGCGCGUGCACACGAACGCGACGACGUGUUUACGAGUGAACGACGUCCAUUUAAUUCCGAUGGCAGAUACCGCUAAUUAAAUCAUCGACCAAAAGGAAAACCGGUGUCCGGUCAGUGAGGCCAGCGGCGUUCCAAGUGAUAUCAUCGCCGAAAGAAAUGAGCAUAAGAUCGUCGUCAUGUUCUUGGGAGUCAAUUACAUGCUGCCAAUCGAUCGCUCUGCAACGAGCGAUCGAGCGAGUUACUUCGUCUGAAAUUUUUAAUCAGUUCAGAUAAGCAGAUAAGCUUAACAACAGUCCUUUUUGCAAAUAAUUCUUAACUGACUGCGUGCAAAUGUUUUACAGGAGAGGGAUUCGAUUCAGUCGAUGACAAGAGUUCGAAACUAAGCGAGAGCGGAAUAAAAUCCACAAUCAUUCGUCAUCCCCGUAUAUUUCUCUCGCAUGUAACGAAAGGAGAAAUUCAGCGAAUUCAAAUUUCAACCAAAGAGCGAUGCGAUACGCACUGCAAACUUUAAGCAUACAUUACAGCCCGUGAAAAGCCCGUUUGAAACCAUCAGGAAACGACCCAUGGAAUUCAGAUGAAAACAGAACUGAAGGAUCGCCGAUUCCAUCAUCGAUUCGACAGUAAUUGUAACACAAAUUCUCCCAUGUUAUACGAGUGGUUCGCGUGUCUCGGAAAUUAAGCCCGAUAAAUGCGACUCCGUCAUGCUUGGUAUCGUCUUUGUUAUCGUUAAGUGUUAUUGUACACUUAGCCUUACGACGAUGAGAAAGUGGAUCAAGAGAAAGAGAGAGAGACACGCAAUGCGAAAAUAAUAUUUCCAUUAAUCGCGACAAAUGUGCUGAAUAACGCAUUUAACAGGUUGCUUGUACCCCAAAAUUUCUUUCGUAGCGCAACGCUCCUUUCGCAUUUCUAAACGAUUCAGACGUCUAAUUUGAGCUAUUGAAUGAACGAUAGUCACGUACGAAGACAUCCGUAAUAAUGUACCGUAAACGCCAAGGCGCGCGCACACAAUUGCUUAAUAUUACCUUCAAACUGUCUCCCGCGAAUUGACUGCGCGUCUCGAAAAGUAUUAAUUCGUGUGAUCGAUACGCGUCUAAUCUAAUCGUAACGCUCGCUGACACAACAAAUAUCCGGCGGUGCAAUAAAAACGGCGGUAUCUCCUGCGAAGCAUCGCGAUACGUCCAGCUCGUGCGCAUCCGCGCGAUUUUAGCGGACCGAGCAUAACUUUGGCUUAAUCCUUUCCAGUUCAACAAUGUCAAUAGAAACGGCACACGUACAUAUAUCGCGUCUUACGUAAGCGAAUUCGAGAGCCGAAGGGAUUUCGUGAAUUUCCCAGGGACCGUUAGCCGAUCCUGAGUGCUGGCGGUCAUUAACAGAAAAUUUGUAUGGCGGUUCACACGGAAGCGGAAUAUAGAAGGCAACGUCGCUAAGUAGCGCGAGUAAAUAGUAAUUCUUUAUGCGGCUGGUCCCGAAACCCGCCUCGGUUCAUGUUAAAUGCGGUUGAUGCAUAAUGAAAUUACAGAAUGCAGGGAAAAUAAUCCAUGAGUUUAUAAACGUGGGUUACUCCAAAACAAAUAUUUCAAACCAGGCAAACACACAUAGGAUAUGGCGCGACGCUCAAAGUAUUAACAUUCAUGCACAUGUUAAAAAACAUAUCUGACCCACCCCAGAGGGAUUAAUAAUUAAUUGUUCGAUUAUUCAACAGCACUAGGAUCACUUUAUCAAUGCAAAGCUCUCGGGCAUUCUGGUUAUGUUUGUUAGGAAAUCGAGUGUUCCAAGAUCGAAUUUUCUCUCGCGGAAAAUCGGCUCGAGGCGUCCGUAGGUAUACUAUUAAUUUGCAUUAUUAUUAUUAUUAUCACAUAUCCCAUGUUCGAAUCUCAACAGCAUUUUCUCACAAGAAUCAUUGAAAUUUAUUUUAAAAAAGUAUUUCGUUAUCCCCAAUAUGGACAGUUUCGAAAUCCUUGAUUCCUGGCAAUCAACUAAUCACCGUAAUGACACCGAAACUCUCACCGGAGGAGAAAAGUCGCUGACGAGCGUCCGUCACUCCUAGAAUUGCCUCUCCGGCGAGAUACGCGGCGUGACGGAAAGGAAAGAGAAUCGCAGACUUGCUUGCUCGACCGAAUCUCGCGCUCAGUUCCGCUCGCGAUUGAACUUGAAGUUUCCAGAAGGAAUAGAACGACAAUCUUUCGCCAGUCGUUCAGCGACACAGCGACUGCACGCAGAAAACCUGCAAGACUCGAAAAAAUCGAAGGAAACUUCUACAAAUAUUCAAGUUCAAAAAACAGUGCUCCAAUUUUUAGUGUCGAGGCGAGGAUCCAGGUAGACAACGCGGUCAACGUGCGGCAAGGCAAGGCAAGGCAAGGAAAAUCGUCACGCAAUCGUAAUACUUGGAAUCGAGACGAGACCAAGUUCGAAGGUGAAGCGCACGUUGUACGUGCAGUUAUUCGGCGCUCUGUAGGCUGCACGCGUCACUCGAUGCCGACUCGAUGACGUUCGCCGAGGCGAUGACGCGCCGAAAAUCCGAGGAGAUGGUCGCGCACGACGGUGACGACGACGAGGACGGCGGACUCUCUCGCCGCGGUUACUUUCUCCUCGCGGAGAAAAGGCCGAGCCGGGCGCGCGCGCGGAUAAUCGCGCGAGCGGGACGAAGACGCACGCUGCGCUCAUUCGCUCGCUCGCUCGUACGUUCACGAACACAGGCAGGUUAACGCAGGUUGAAGGUUAACUCCUCACGCCGGAGGUGCGCUGCGAAACGCGAGAUCGCGCGGACGGUAUAGUUCGGACAGCGCGCGCGGAGACGUGGAAACAGAGGCGAGGGAAAAGCCGCGAUUCUCUUUGAGUGUACGCGCGCGCGCGUGAGCACGCACGCGAAAGAUA